AGCAGCCGCGGUAAUUCCAGCUCCAAUAGCGUAUAUUAAAGUUGUUGCAGUUAAAAAGCUCGUAGUUGAAUUUCGGGGUCAGUAGGUUGGUCGUGCCACCGGUACGUACUGGUCUCACUGAUUCCUCCUUCCUGAAGAACCGUAAUGCCAUUAAUUUGGUGUUGCGGGGAAACAGGACUGUUACUUUGAAAAAAUUAGAGUGUUUAAAGCAGGCUAACGCUUGAAUACAUUAGCAUGGAAUAAUGAAAUAGGACGAUCGAUCCUAUUUUGUUGGUUUCUAGGAUUGACGUAAUGAUUAAUAGGGAUAGUUGGGGGCAUUAGUAUUCAAUUGUCAGAGGUGAAAUUCUUGGAUUUAUUGAAGACUAACUACUGCGAAAGCAUUUGCCAAGGAUGUUUUCAUUAAUCAAGAACGAAAGUUAGGGGAUCGAAGACGAUCAGAUACCGUCGUAGUCUUAACUAUAAACUAUGCCGACUAGGGAUCGGAUGAUGUUAAUUUUAUAAUGACUCAUUCGGCGCCUUA
rnacentral:rRNA from 1 species